CGGGCCUGUCCGGGUCCGGGGGUGGGGGCGAGGCCUGGGCCCGGGGGUGGGGGUGAGGCUUUCCCCCGGGCGGGGCGGGGACUGAACUGAAGCGGGGCCGCUCUGUACCUGCUGGGGUUGGAAGAAUGAGAGGUGAUGCCAUCGGCUCCUCCACUGUGGGCAGCGGCCUCUUCCCUUGCUGCUGCCGCCGGUGAGCGACUGCAGCACGGUGCCAACAACAGAUGUGAAGUGAACAGGACCACAGUUCCCUGCUGUUUGUCUUCCACCCUUCUCCAACAAUGGGGUCACAUCUGAGGUUUUCCAACCCGGCUCGGACCUUCCUGGAACACACCCGACCGAUGAAGGCAAUCAUGCCAUCUGCCUUCUUCACCACCUUAGAACAUGGAGCAGUACAGCACAGGAACAGUCUCUUCGGCCCACAAUGUUGUGCCAAACUAAUUAAAUUCGUCAUCAAAUGCCCAACUGAACUAAUGCCUGCUGCCGACACAAUACCCAUAUCCCUCCGUUUCCUGCACAAUCCUGUGCCUAUCUAAGAGCCUUUUGAACGCCUCUGUCGUAUCUGCCUCCACCACCCUGGGCAGUGCAUUCCAGGCACCCACCACUCUCUGUGUUUAAAGAAAAAAACUCCCCGUCCAGCUGUUUUGAACUUACUCCCUCUCACUUUAAGUUCAUGCUCUCUGGUAUUAGAUAUUUCAACCCUGGGAAAAAGAUACCUGCUGUCUAUCUCUGCCUCUCAUAAUCUUAUAAACCUCUGUCAGAUCUUCCCUCGGCCUCCGCCGUUCCAGAGAAAACAACGCAAGUUUGUCCAACCUCUCCUUAGAAUACAUGCUUUCUAAUCCAGGCAGUAUCCUGGUAAACCUCUUCUGCACCCUUUCCAAAGCCUCCACAUCCUUCUUAUGACGGGGUGACCAGAACUGCAUGUAAUACUCCAAGUGCAGUGUGACCAAAGUUUUAUAAAGUUGCAACAUGACUUCCUGACUCUUGAACUCGAUUCCUCCACUAAUAAAGGCAAGCGUGCCAUGUGCCCUGUUUACCACCCUAUCUGCCUGUGCAGCCACUUCCAGGGAGCUAUGGACUUGGACCCCAAGAGUAGUCUGCACAUCAGCACGCUUAAGGGUCUUGCCAUUAACUGUAUACUCACCCUUUAGAUUUGAUCUCCCAAAGUGCAACAAUUCACAUUUGGCCGGGUUAAAUGCCACCUGCCAUUUCUCUGCCCAUAUCUGCAACUGAUCAAUAACCCGCUGAUUCUUUGGCAUCUUCUACACUAUCCCCAACACCACCGAUCUUCGUAUUGCCUGCAAACUUUCAAGCCCACCCAUCUACAUUUUCAUUCAGGUCAUUUCUAUAUACUGUAUAUCACAACCAGCAGAGGCCCCAGUACAGAUCCCUGUGGAACACCAAUAGUCACAGACCUCCAACCAGACCAAGUCUCAUCGACCACUCGCCUGUAUUUUUUUGUGCAAGCCAGUUCUGAAUUGAAACAUAGUGGCUGCACAGUGGAUCCCAUGCAUCUUAAUCUUCUGGAUGAGCCUCCCAUGAGUGCCCUUGUCAAAUGACUUACUAAAAUCCAUGUAGACACCACCCACAGCCCUACCUUCAUCACAUCCUCAAAAAACUGAAGUUAGUAAGGCACUACUUGCCCCACACAAAGCCAUGCUGACUGUCCCUAAUUAGGCCAUGGUUUUCCAAAUGCUCAGUAAAUCCUAUCCUGAAGAAUUCUCUCUGGUAACUUCCCUACCACUGACGUGAGACUCGCCCAUCUAUAGUUUCCAGGGUUAUACGGAAUGACAUUAGCUACUUGCCAGUCCUCUGGGAUCUCACCUGUGGCGAGAGAGGACACAGAGAUAUUGGUCAAGGCCCCAGCAGUCUCAUCCCUUGCCUCUCUCAAUAACCUUGAGUAUAUCACAUCAGGCCCUGGGGACUCAUCCACCUUAAUGUUUGAGAGACCCAGCACUACCUCCUUUAUCUUGAUGAAAUGCCCUAGCAUAUUAGCACGCUCCACACUGAUCUCACUGUUCUCCAUGUCCUUCUCCUUGGUAAAUACUGACGCAAAGUUCUCGUGUAGGACCUCACCAGCAUCCUCCACCUCCAAGCACAUGUUCCCUCCUUUAUCCUUAAGUGGUCCUACCGGCUCCCUUGCUAUCCUCUUGCUCUUGAUGUAUUUAUACAAUGCCUUGGGAUUCUCUUUAAUCCUACUUGCCAAGGACUUUACACGGCCCUGCCUGGCUCUCCUUAUUCCCUUCCUGGGUUGUUUUCUGCUGCCUUUAUAAACCUCAAGGGCUCUGUUUGAAUUUAGCUUCCUAAACCUCACACAGGCUUUUUCUUCUUGACUAAAUUCAGCACCUCUCUCGUCAUCCAAGGUUCCCUUCCCUUCCCAUCCUUGGCCUUCCUUUACUGGAACAUCCCUGUCCUGUACUCUGUGUAGUUGGUCUUUAAACACCGUACACAUGUCAGAUGUGGACUUGCCCAAAAACUGCUGUUCCCAGUUAACUCUCCCGAGUUCCUGCCUAAUGCUCUCGUAAUUUGCCCUGCUUCAAUUUCAUGCUCUCCCGCAAGGUCCUUAUGUGUCCAUAUUCAUAGCUACCUUAAAACUUAAGGAGUUGUGGUCACUGUUCCCUCACUGUUCUCCUGCUGAAGGUUCAGUCACCUGGCCAGGCUCAUUACCCAACACCAGCUCAAGUACGGCCAGGCCCGUCCUGUUGUUGGACUAUCUACAUAUUGACCCUCCUGGAUGCACCUAACAAAUUCUGCCCCAUCUAAACUUCUUGCACUCAGGAGUUCCCAGGGAAGUUGAAGUCACCCACUACAACAGUCCUGUUGUUUUUACAACAUUCCCUCACCUGCCUGCAUAUCUGUUGCUCAAUGUCCCGGCGGCAAUUGCUGGGUCUGUGGAUUGGCCCUUUCUUAUGUUUGAGUUCUACCCAUAUAGACUCAGUGGAUGAGCCCAGCAUUAUGUCCCCUCUGAGUGCAGCUGUGAUAUUGUCCCUGAUUAAUAGUGCAACCCCUUCCCCCCUUUUACCCCCCCCCCCUUUUACCUACCCCUCCAUCUUUUUGAGAACAUUGAAUCCCUGGAACAUUAAGCAUCCAGCCCUGUCCCUCUCUCAACCAAGUCUCUGUAAUGGCCCCAACAUCAUAGUUUCAUGUACUGAUCCCUGCUCUUCAGUUCCUCACCCUUCCCCAUAAAACUGCUGGCAUUACUGUAUACACACACUUCAACCCGUCCAUCCCAUUGUGUCUCUUACCGUGCUCCUGCCUGUUCUUACUGCUCAUGACAUAUACCUUCCUCGCAACCCCUCCCCUUUCUGACCUGGUGCUCUAGUUCCCAUCCCACUGCCAAACCAGCUUAAACCCUCCCGAUUAGCACCAGUGAACCUCCCAGCCAGGAUAUUGGUUCCCCUCCAGUUAUGGCACAACCCCUCCCUCUUGUACAGGUCGCCUCUGACCCAGAGGAGGUUCCAAUGAUUCAAGAACCUGAAAUUCUGCCCCCUGCACCAGUUCCUCAGCCACACAUUCAUCUGUUCUAUCUUUCUAUUCCUGCCCUAACUGGCACGUGGCACUGGGAGUAAUCCAGUUGCGUAGCCACCUUAUCCACCUGCAUAGCUACUGACACUGAGCUAUGGACUUGGACUCUGUCUCACUGCUAUGAAGGGGCAUACCACCAAUUGUAUACUUCCAUUUGACCUGCCAAAGUGCAGCACCUCACACUUGCCCGGAUUAAACUGGAUCUGCCACUUCUCUGCCCAUAUACAGUAUGUAGCUGAUCUAUAUUCUGCUUAUUGCCUUGAUAGUCAUUUGCACUGUCCACAACUACACCGAUCUUGUGUCAUCCGCAAACUUACUGAUCCACCCAUCGACAUUUACAUCCAAGUCAUUGAUGUGUAUCACAAACAAGAGGUCCCAGUGGCCAUGGACCUCCAGCCAGAAUCACAGCCUUCCACUCCUACUCUGACUCUGUCUUCUAUAGGAAAGCCUGCUCUGAAUCCAAACUGGCAAUUCACCCUGGAUCCCUUGCAUUUUUAUCUUCUGAAUCAACCUGCCAUGAGGGACCUCGUCAAAUGCCUCACUGAAGUCCAUGUAGAUAACGUCCACUGCCUUGCCCUCAUCAAGCACCUUUGUCACCUCCAAGAAAAAAUUUAGUCAAGUUUGUCAGACAUGAUCUGCCCCGCACAAAGCAAUGCUGACCAUCCCUACGUAGGCCAUGCCUUUCCAAAUGUGCAUAAAUUCUACCCCUAACUACUGUCUCCAAUAGCUUCCUGACCACUGAUGUGAGGCUCACUGGUCUAUAAUUAACUGUUAUCCCUGUUUCCCUUGUUGAACAAAGACACAACAUUAGCAACUUGCCAGUCCUCCAAGACCAUGCCUGUGGCUCAAGAGGACAUGAAGAUAUUGGUCAACACCCCAGCAAUCUCAUCCCUUGCCUCUCACAAUAACCUGGUGUUGAUGCCAUCGGGCCCUGGGGGUUUAUCCACCUAAAUGGUUGUCAGAAUAGCCAGCACCACCUCCUCCUUAACCUCAGUGUUCCAGCACAUAAGCAUGUUUUCACAGUCCUCCAAUUCCUUCUCAGUAAAUGUUGAUGCAAAGCACUCAUUCAGUCCCUCAGCUACUUGCUCUGACACCAAGCACACGUUCCCCCUUUAUCCCUGAGUGAAUCCACCCUCUCCUUAAUUAUCCUCUUUUUCUUAAUACAAGUAUAAAAUGCUGUGGGAUCCUCCUUGAUCCUGCUCACCAAGGACAUUUCAUGGCCCCUUUUGGCCUUGCUAAUCACCUGUUUGAGCACUUUCCUGUUAUCUUU